CCUCCCUGGCUCGGCCCCAUCGCCGGUGAAGCACCCGCCGGCGAGCCCCGCUCCUGUCGCGCCCCUGCCUUUAGGCCCGGGGAAGAAGAAGACCUCUAGCGCUGGGGGCCCAAGCGCCAGGGAAAGAAAGGAGAGAGAAGGGGUCCGGUGGGUAGAAAACAAGAGGGAGAGAGGGGCCGGUCCAAGGGGCCCAGGUGCUAGAGAGAGGGGGUAGAAAGGAGUUUGGUGAGAAAAGAUUGACUGGGGGUUUCGGAUAAUCAUAAGUUUUUCCUUUUACACAUAAAUAGUUUAAAUUCGUUUAUAACCAUUUAAUUCAUUAGAAAUUGUAGAAAUAUCCAAAAAUAGUGAAACCAAUUUUAUUAGGAUUGUUUUAUUUUCUUUUAUGCAUCAAAAUUUUUAAACCCUAGGAAAAAUAAUAAAAGUUAAGUACUUAUUUAAUGCCUUUUGAUUAAGGUAUUUAAAUAAAUGCUUAACCUUUAUUAAAUGCAUAAAAUUCUGAAUAAUGCUUUCUUAUUCACAAAUUAUUAUUAAAUCAUAGGAAUUAAGUUUUGAGAUUAGAAAAUAUUUAUAAUGCUUUUCUAAAAUUAAAGGAAAGGGCUUAAGGUAGGUUAGUAAAGAAAUUAAAAAUUGUGGGUUAAUCUUUAUGGGUAGCGUAGUGUUGGCUUGCAACUUUAUCAUGAAGAUAGGUUGUAUAGUCACUUGUUGGCUUGCAACUUUAUCAUGAAGGAAAGUUGUAUAGUCGUGUGUUUAAAAGUUUGCAUAUCUAACUCCAGAAGAGGAAUUCUUGGAGUUAUCUGAAGAGCCUUCAGAGUUUGAG
rnacentral:lncRNA from 1 species